UUAACUACAACUGAAUGCCAA
ensembl:piRNA 21ur-4803 ncRNA